AUUUGAUAUCGGCCAAAUCUCAAUUUUGAGAACGGAGGACCCAAUUUUUGGGGUUAAUUCUGCAUGCAGAAGGGAUGAGUUACUCUUUCGCCAUCCUACCCGUCAGCUAACUUCGUCGGCUAAAGCGAAGGAGGUC
rnacentral:sRNA from 2 species